rnacentral:lncRNA from 1 species
GUCCUUAACUGCAGGGACCCCAGCUGUUGCUUUAAAAGCUUGAGUGUUUGCUGAUCUACCUACUCCUGGCCUCAGGAAAGACUGGAACAUACAGGUGUGAGAGGUGCAAGAAAAAGCCCAAGGGACAGGGCUGGGUCAGAGGUCAGCCACAGGUACCAGGGUGGCUGCCGCACCCUCCAGGGCCGUUACUACAAUGCUAAGCUGCCUCUGUACUUCAGCCCAAGCUUCAGAUCCGGAGUUGAUUUCCUGGGCCUUGGCAUAAGCGUUGGCCAGACCUGGGAAUGUGUCUACAGAGGCCGUGUUGGGCGCCCAGAGCACGUGGCUGAGGAGAGAUGGCGAGCAGAGGGUCAGUGAGAGGUUACCUGGAACUCAGCAUUGUCGACACGUAGCAUGCAACUUGGGUCUGCUCUCUGAAUGCAAGGGCUUACAGCAGUGCAGGCUGGGCCUCAGUCCCCAGCCAUCAGUGAAGUGGAUUGCAUAGUGACACAGGAAAGCUCUGGGGAGGGGGCCAUCGCUCCACCCCUCCUCCCCAGAGCUUUGGCAUAGGCUCACCUGUAGUGCCUCUCCUCUGGGAAAGCCCUUGGGUUCAGGAAUGCCCGUUCUAAGAGCAUCAGCUGGUCAUUGACCAUUCGUACCUGCAGAGGACUGAAGAGCGUGUGCGUCACUUCACUGCAAGCCAGCAGUUCAGCUGCCAGCUCCAUGCAUGCCAGGUGCCCCCUCCCAGACACCUGCCCUCUGCUGACACUCACUCAGGGCUGCUCUUCUGCAGGGUCAAGAUGUGCUCACCCAAGGAUGCAGCUGCAGCCUUAAAGUUCGCCACUGCAGUCACCAAAGGCCCUGAGUGGGGAACACAUGGCUUAGCCCUACCUGGGGAUACAGGGUUCCCCGAGACUCCAUGUUGGGGUGUGCGUACCCAGGCUGAUGUUCUGUUUCUCUAACUGGGUGCCAAGGGCCUCUUGAGCAGCCUGCAGGAAACUCUGUAGUGUCUCACUAUAGUCACUGACAUUGAGGGGCAGGAAGAGGCUGUCACUGAGCCGGAGAAGCACGCUCCCAGCAGUCCGGGCCACAGCUUGGUGGCUGCUGAAACCUAGGAGGGGACCCAAGGCCAGGGCUGCAUCUUCAGCCCAUCCUUCUGUCAGCUUCAGAAUGCCCCUGUCCCCUCCUCACCAGGGUCCAGAAACUUCUCCACAUAAUCAAAUGUAUCAAAUGCUGUGUGGUAGGUGGGGUAGAUCCUGGCCGAGGUCUUGCUCUAGAGGAAUAAAGAAGAGGUAGGCUUGCGGUGGGAGAGCUGGGUACCCACGGUGUGAACUGUGGGCUUCAGAACUUCCACUCCAGAGGAGGAACUGAGGGCUAGGGGCUAACCUGCCUGGUAUCGCACGCCCAGACAGAAAGGCAGAGAAGCCUGGGGCUUUGGAAUCAAACAUGGGAAUCCCAGCUCCUCCAUCCAAGAGCAGCACAGCCAGGGGGAAAAGGGAUUUAAAGCAUCCACUCUAGAGGUUAGAGGUACAGGCUGGAUGCACUGGAGUCCCACCUCAAUCCCCAAACGUAUGAAUCUUUCCCUAACAAGUCUCGCUUAGUGCUGACACCAGCACAAGUAUUUCCAUACUCAGUUCUUCAUAGUCACUGCCAUCCUACAACUGAUUGACAGCAGUCUUUUCCUUGUCCUGCCUAAGACAUAACAUGACGUGACAACAUUGUAGAAUGAGUAAGGUGGAACUGCAAUACAACCAAUGCAAGUGUUUGAUGAGCAGAAACAGAUGCUCUGAGGCCUAGGAAAGCCAGCCUGUCUUGUCCAGUGCUGAUAGGUAGUUUUAAUUGUCAAUCUGAUACAAUCUAGAAACAUCUGGGAUGGAGUCUCAGUAAGGAAGUGUCUAAAUCUGGAUGGCUUAGGGGCAUAUCAGUGGGAGUCUAUCUUGAGUACAUUUAUUGAGGUGGGAGGACAGAAGGGACUCUGGCCAGCUAGAGCAAGUCUUGCCCUUCUCCCUAAUUCCCUCUGCCUUGCUAAAAACUGUUAGAUUAUAUUCCUGAAGCUAGCCACAGAGAUCUAUCCCCUUAUUUGGCCAAUCCCUCCUUCUGAGGCUGUCCAGCUACCAAAACAUUGAAGUCCAGCAAUCAAAAGCCCCCUUUGACUUACCUAGUUAACACGCCCAAUUAAAAUUCAACACCCCAUCCUAACACAGGGUUUCCCCUUUUACAUUUAUAAACCACCAUUUGCCUAUGGGCCAUAUCUGACUCCUCUCCAUCCAAAGACAGUCGUUUGUCCUCCAGAAUAAAUACACCUCCCCCUUCUCCC